rnacentral:rRNA from 1 species
GACGUAGGGGGCGAGCGUUGUCCGGAUUUAUUGGGCGUAAAGAGCGUGUAGGCGGCCAGGUAGGUCUGCUGUGAAAACUCGAGGCUCAACCUCGAGACGUCGGCGGAAACCAUCUGGCUAGAGUCCGGAAGAGGAGAGUGGAAUUCCUGGUGUAGCGGUGAAAUGCGCAGAUAUCAGGAAGAACACCUAUGGCGAAGGCAGCUCUCUGGGACGGUACUGACGCUGAGACGCGAAAGCGUGGGAGCGAACAGG